rnacentral:hammerhead_ribozyme from 2 species
AUCCAGCUGAUGAAUCCCAAAUAGGACGAAACGCGCGUCAAAAUGGAU